rnacentral:rRNA from 1 species
CCUACGGGAGGCUGCAGUGAGGAAUAUUGGUCAAUGGGCGGGAGCCUGAACCAGCCAAGUCGCGUGAGGGAAGACGGUCCUAUGGAUUGUAAACCUCUUUAGGCGGGGAGCAAUGCCGGGCACGCGUGCCCGGAUGGAGAGUACCCGCCGACUAAGCCUCGGCUAACUCCGUGCCAGCAGCCGCGGUAAUACGGAGGAUGCGAGCGUUAUCCGGAUUUAUUGGGUUAAAAGGGUGCGUAGGCGGAUCGUUAAGUCAGCGGUAAAAGGUCCGGGCUCAACCCGGGCCGGCCGUUGAAACUGGGGAUCUUGAGGGGGCGAGAAGUAUGCAGAAUGCGUGGUGUAGCGGUGAAAUGCAUAGA